rnacentral:rRNA from 1 species
UACGUAGGGUGCGAGCGUUGUCCGGAAUUAUUGGGCGUAAAGGGCUCGUAGGCGGUUUGUCGCGUCGGGAGUGAAAACUCAGGGCUUAACCCUGAGCCUGCUUCCGAUACGGGCAGACUAGAGUGCGGUAGGGGAGACUGGAAUUCCUGGUGUAGCGGUGAAAUGCGCAGAUAUCAGGAGGAACACCGGUGGCGAAGGCGGGUCUCUGGGCCGUAACUGACGCUGAGGAGCGAAAGCGUGGGGAGCGAACAGG